ensembl:lncRNA
UCCCUGUCCCAGGAACUUCUAUACAGUGGGUGUGGCCANUGGGUGUGGCCAAAAAAAAAAGGGGGGGGGUAGAAAGAAAGAAAGAAAGAAAUAACUGUGAUGCUCUGAUGUUCCCAUGGGGCUCCCAGAGGCCGGGCUGGUCAUGGUUUUGUCAGACACGCAUCCUGGCUCACCUGCCUCCUCCACCCCAUUCUCCUCCCUGCCUUCAGUGGGUGUUGAUCUCUAGUCAACACCCUUUGCCCCAAACUCCAUCUCAGCCUCUCCUUCUGAGGACUCCAAUCUGCAAUACACUCCACAGUCUGCUAAAGUCCUUCCUGGCUCUAAGGGUCUACAUGGAAAGAACAGUGGAGAAAAUACAGCAGAGUUUGGACUUCAGAGAGCCAACUCUGUUUGAAUCCUCGAUCUUCCCAGCUGUGCAUCCUUCAGUAAAUUUUCACAUCUAUGGGAGUACCCUUCAUGGCUCAGCAGUUAACAAACCCAACUAGGACCCAUGAGGAUGCUGGUUCGACCCUUGGCCUUGCUCAGUGGAUUAAGGAUCCAGUGUUGCUGUGAGCUGUGGUGUAGGUCAUAGAUGUGGCUCAGAUAUAGCAUUGCCGUGGCUGUGGUGUAGGCUGACCACUGCAGCUCUGAUUUGUCCCCUAGUCUGGGAACCUCCAUGUGCCACGAGUGUGGCCCUAAAAAAACCAAAGGAAGGAAGGAAGGAAGAAGGAAUGAAAGAAAGAAAGAAAGAAAGAAAGAAAGAAAGAAAGAAAGAAAGAAAGAAAGAAAGAGAGAGAGAGAAAGAAAGAAAGAAAGAAAAAGAGAGAGAGAGAGAGAAAGAGAAAGAAAGAAAGAAAGAAAGAAAGAAAGAAAGAAAGAAAGAAAGAAAGAAGGAAAGAAAGAAAGAAAGAAAGAAAAAGAAAGAAAUUUUUACAUCUAUGAAAGGCAGACAAGAGUCUCUCCUUUAUGAAGUAGGGAAGAACCAAUCUGACUCACAUUAGGUCUCUUCCUUUUACUUUAACCUUUGUGCUCUAUUGAGUUUCCAUUGCAGCUCAGUAGUUAACGAAUCCAACUAGGAACCAUGAGGUUGCCGGUUCGAUCCCUGGCCUUGCUCAGUGGGUCAAGGAUCCAGCAUUGCCAUGAGCUGUGUUGUAGGUUGCAGACACAACUUGGAUAUGGCAUUGCUGUGGCUGUGGUGUAGGCCGGUGGCUAUAGCUCUGAUUAGACCCCUAGCCUGUGAACCUCCAUAUGCCACAGGUGAGGCCUUAGAAAAGACAAAAAAAAAAAAGAAAGAAAGAAACAACCUUUGUGAUCUAUUACCCGGGCUUAGUCAUGCUGGCCCUGCACCUUCCAUAAAAGAAUAUAGCCUGAAAUAUGUAGAAUAACCCCCAUUCUAAAGUCUCUGACUUUUUUCCCUCUCUCUCUCUUUAAGGCUGCAUCUGCAGCAUAUGGAAGUUUCCAGGCUAGGGGUCAAAUCAGAGCUGCAGCUUCCAGCCUACACCACAGCCACAGCAACAUAGGAUCCGAGCCACCUCUGCAGCCUACACCACAGCUUGCGGCAAAGUCUGAUCCUUAACCCACCGAGGGAGUCCAGGGAUCGAGGCUGAAUCCUCAUUGACACUAGUUGGGUUUGUAACCCUCUGAGCCACAAAGGGAGCUCCAAGUCUCUGACUGUUAGGUUUGUCUCUGGAAAAACAGGACUUAGCUCUAGGUUCUCGCCUAGCUCUUGGAAGAGGCAUGACUGAGACAUGACUAAGUCUUCCCCAAAAUCAUGGGACCCAAUCUUAAAGACUACCCCACUAUCCAGGAGAAUGUCUAAACUUCUGUUCAUAUACUGCUAACAAUUCCCCCAAACUGACUGUUCUGUUCUUUUCCACCCUAUUUACAUAAGAAAUGGCCAAUCAGCUUCUGCACAGAGACCCUCUUUCUUGGCACCCACAUUUAACCUCCCUCCUCACCUCCCCUUGUGAGUCAGCCUGGCAGUACACCCCCCUAAUAAAGUCUUUUAUGCCUGAACUCUGGUCUCGUCCUUUUGGCCGACCUUACACUGACCUUUAAGAGUACAACAUUUUUCAAUUCAUAUAAGAGGUUAAAAAAUUUCAGAACAGAGAAUAACAUUUGUCUUGUUGGAGAGUUACAGGAAUAUCACGACCUAUGUGGACAGCUGUAAGAACAAAGGAUUUGUAGACCAGGAAGUUUACAACUACCAGCCACACCCUCCCUCACCUAGCCUUUAAAAAUGCUUGGCUGAAACCCUUUGAGCAGUUUGCGUUUUGGGGGACACAAGCUACUCUUCUCCUUGCAUGACCCUGCAAUAUACUUUCCUUGUUUCAAAAUCCAAUGUUUCAGUAUUGUUUGGCCUCAUUGUGCAUCAGGCACAGGAACUUGCCUUUGGUAACAGACAAUUAAAGUGUGGAUGAAUUGGGCUAAUACAUGUAGAAGGCAUAUGUUCAAACAUUAUUAUAAUAAUUAUUAUAAUUGUUCCUUUGGCAAAAAACCUUCUUGUCCUUUCAAUGUCACACAAUGAUGCACCUAAAAGAGCUCCAUAAUGAGGGCUCAUUAAGCAGAAAACACUAGGAUUUAUGUGCAUUUCCCCAUUUAAUCCUCAUGGGAGCCCUACAAGGUGGUUGUCGUUAAUACCUCCAUUUUACAGAUGAGAAAGUUGAGGUUCACAGAGUUUGAGAAACUUGCCUAAGGUCACAAAAUCAGUAAGUCAUGGAAUCAAGAUUUAAAUCUGGGUCUUUAAAUAAGACAUAUUGGUCUCUGCCCCCAACAUUCUAACACAGGAGUUCCUGUCUGGGCUCAGUGGUUAAC